GUUGCUGUUUUUCAGAAGUAGAAGGUGGAGGUGCUUCUAGGCCCCAACUGGUUAAUAUUUGAUUAGUUUUUUAAUGGGUGUUAAAAGCUUAAUUGCUGACCAUUUAAGUUUAUAUAUAUAUUCGGUUUUGAUUUCUAAAGGAAUGUUUGGUUGGGACAGGGUCAUGGGUUUCGAAGUGAUCUAUUUAAGAUGGUUGCAGAUAUGAAGCCUGCAUUUAUCAGAUUUCCAGGUUUACCUAUACUAUAUAAGAAGAUGAAGAGAGAUAGGUUGAGAUGGUUUCCGUGCUCUGGAACUUCAAAGAAGAAGAAGAUGAAGAUAUGGGGAUGGUUUCCAUGCUCUGGAACCUCAAAGAAGAUGAAGAGCUAUCACCUAUGAGCUUCAGAGGAUGGAAAAAGGAAAAAGUGUUUCAUAGAGAGUUGACUACUUGACUUGGUCAAGUUGAUAUGAUAUGGUCAAUAAAAUUCCACUCAUGCUGGGAAUUCUUUCUAAAGAGUAAG